ensembl:rRNA 5S_rRNA 5S ribosomal RNA
UCUUACGGCCAUACCACCCUGAGCGUGCCCAAUCUCGUCUGAUCUCGGAGCCUAAGCAGGGUCAGGCCUGGUUAGUACUUGGAUGGGAUACAGCCUGGGAAUACCAGGUGCUGUAAGCU